ensembl:lncRNA
CAGCUAGAGACACAUCUACAGCAGCAUCUCUGUGCAGGACAAACGACAGUUGAAGAUAUAAAACAUCGAAAACUUCACUUCACUUCUCUACAAUACUUUGGUUCCUUUGUUUAAAAGGCCAAAAUGAAUCAAGGGAGAUCGAGAAGAGGAUUGGCGAGUGCUUCACCAUACAGUACAGUACAGUCUGAGCUGAUUAACCUACGAGAGGAAUUUCAAAUAAUACAGGCUGAAAAUGUCAAAUUAAGAGAAGAGGCAGAAAAAUCAAGAGGAGAAGCUAAAAAUUCAAAGUUUGAAACUGAAGUAGUAUUGCAGGAAUUACUGCAUGUGGGUCUAAACCUUAAAGGAGAGAAGAUGGGAAAACAACAGGCAGAAAAUGAGAAUGAAAAUAUAAAGAAAGAACUGUUGGAAGCUGAAAAAGCAUUGGAGGAAGAGAAAACCACAGCACAAGAAGCCAAAAAUAAAUAUCAAACUGCAAAGAAGGAGGCAGAAAACGUGAUGCAGGAAUUACAGGAGGUGCAGAAAGAUUUUGAAGAGGAAAAAAGGAAAAUGCAGUUGGCAACACAAGAAGCUGAAAAUGUAAUGACUGAAGCUGAAAUAGUAAGGAAGGAAUUCUUGCAUGUAAAGCAACAACUUGAAGAGGAGAAAAAACGUAAACAUGAGGCAGAAAAUGAGAUUGAAAAUAUGAAGAAAGAAUUGUUGGAAGCUCAAAAAGCGUUGGAGGAAGAGAAAAUGAAAAUACAGGAAGCAAAGAAAGAAAUGGAAAAUACAAAGAGUUACACUCAAAACAUAAAGAAGAAGUUGCUGGAAACACAGGAAGCAAUAGAAAAAGAGACACGUGGAAAAUGGGAGGCAAAACAGGAAAGUGAAACUCUGAAGAAGGAACUGAUGAAAGUGCAAGAAGAACUUGCAGAAGAGAAAACUGAGGUGAAGGUAUUCAAGAAAGAAAUGACAGGCUCUGCGAGGACCAAGAAAGACUGCAAAGAUGCACUUAAAGAAAUACGAAAGCAGAAAAAGGAAGCUAAAGAGCUCCUCAAACAGAAAGUGAAACUGGCCAAACAGCAGCUGAAAGAAAAAUUUAAAGACGCCGAGGAGCAGCUAAACAAAACGUUGAAAGAGCUGAAGGCAAAAGAAAAAGAAAAGAAAGCCGAGGAGACGAGGGGAUUCUGGAGCAGACUGCUGAGAAAGAACUGACCCAGCAGCAUCAAGUUGAAGGAGAUCAACAGUUUCGUCCUCCUUCCCCCUCUCUCCACCUUUCUUUCACCCCAUCCUUCUUCUUCUCUCUCUCCUCUCUCAUCUUCUCUACCCUCACCUCUCACCUUUAACCCACUUUCUCUUUCACCGUCCCUCUCCUCCUAAAAAUCCCCCCAAACUUUACUUGGGACGUUUGUUUGUUUUUUAAAAACUCUAAUCUGAAUACAUGUCCUGAAAUACACAAAUAAAAUUGCC